AUUGAACGCUGGCGGCAUGCCUUACACAUGCAAGUCGAACGGUAACGCGGGGCAACCUGGCGACGAGUGGCGAACGGGUGAGUAAUGCAUCGGAACGUACCCAGUAGUGGGGGAUAGCCCGGCGAAAGCCGGAUUAAUACCGCAUACGACCUACGGGUGAAAGGGGGGGAUCGCAAGACCUCUCGCUAUUGGAGCGGCCGAUGUCAGAUUAGGUAGUUGGUGGGGUAAAAGCCUACCAAGCCUGUGAUCUGUAGCUGGUCUGAGAGGACGACCAGCCACACUGGGACUGAGACACGGCCCAGACUCCUACGGGAGGCAGCAGUGGGGAAUUUUGGACAAUGGGCGCAAGCCUGAUCCAGCAAUGCCGCGUGCGGGAAGAAGGCCUCGGUGUAACG
rnacentral:rRNA from 1 species